rnacentral:tRNA from 1 species
GCUCCGGUAGUGUAGUCCGGUCAAUCAUUUUGCCCUUUCGAGGCAAAGACCCGGGUUCAAAUCCCGGCCGGAGCA